AGAGAGAUAGCUGGGUCAAAUGGUGGUUCCAUUCCCAGAUUUCCAAGGAAUCUCCAUACUGUUUUCCAUAUUGGCUGCACCAAUUUGCAGUUCCACCAGCAAU
rnacentral:pre_miRNA from 1 species